rnacentral:rRNA from 1 species
AACGAACGCUGGCGGCGUGGAUAAGACAUGCAAGUCGAACGAGGUUACUCUUGGUAGCAAUACCGAGAGUGACUUAGUGGCGAACGGGUGCGUAACACGUGGGCAAUCUGCCUUAAAGUGGGGGAUAGCUCGGCGAAAGCCGAAUUAAUACCGCAUGUGAUCAGCCAAGACAUCUUGGCGACAUCAAAGCCGGGGCAACCUGGCGCUUUUUGAGGAGCCCGCGGCCAUCAGCUAGUUGGUGAGGUAACGGCCCACCAAGGCUUUGACGGGUAGCUGGUCUGAGAGGACGACCAGUCACACUGGAACUGAGACACGGUCCAGACACCUACGGGUGGCAGCAGUCGAGAAUUUUUCCCAAUGGGGCGAACCCUGAAGGAGCGACGCCGCGUGGAGGAUGAA